CCUACGGGUGGCAGCAGUGAGGAAUAUUGGUCAAUGGACGCAAGUCUGAACCAGCCAUGCCGCGUGCAGGAUGACGGCUCUAUGAGUUGUAAACUGCUUUUGUACGAGGGUAAACCCAGAUACGUGUAUCUGGCUGAAAGUAUCGUACGAAUAAGGAUCGGCUAACUCCGUGCCAGCAGCCGCGGUAAUACGGAGGAUCCGAGCGUUAUCCGGAUUUAUUGGGUUUAAAGGGUGCGUAGGCGGUGUGAUAAGUUAGAGGUGAAAUCCCGAGGCUCAACCUCGAAAUUGCCUCUAAUACUGUUCGACUAGAGAAUAGUUGCGGUAGGAGGAAUGUAUGGUGUAGCGGUGAAAUGCUUAGAGAUCAUACAGAACACCGAUUGCGAAGGCAGCUUACCAAGCUAUAUCUGACGUUGAGGCACGAAAGCGUGGGGAGCAAACAGGAUUAGAUACCCGGGUAGUC
rnacentral:rRNA from 1 species